UUUACUGUUGGGAGUCUCCCAUCCUUACCUGUUCCUCUAAUCAUGAGGGCAGAUAGAACAUGAUAAUUGUAGUUGACUUGAUUUGUGAUUAAUGUCUCUGUGUGAUUAGGGCUCACAGCACCCUAAUUACUCCUUCCUGAU